UUAAGCUGUGAUUUUAAUGAGUAAAAUACUUCUUUAUUAGUGUGAAUCAGUCCUCUUGUUCCUCCUGCUAACCAGUGAAAGCAUUCAGAAAAGUAAGACCGAGGAACAGCAUUCCAAUCAGCAAUCCAAGACCCAUCUUUGCAGUUCCUAUGAACAGACCACAUUUUCCCUCCAUCCAUAACAUCUAUUUUUUUUUUGUGUGUGCGUGUAUGUGUAUAUACACAACAGGUGCGAGAACCACCAGUUAUGGAAAUAAGAUGGAGUGAAGAUGCAGAUUACUUAGGAAUGACUCAUCCUGUUCCGAUGUUCCCAGAAACAUCACUUAUUUAUAUUUCUAAGGCUUUAAACUUUCUUGAGGAUCAAUCUUUUAGAAGCGGACGGAUAAGAAUCUGAGCAGGGAGACACAGGAGGAGAACUAAGUGUUGAAACAGAAGACAGAAAGUUUCCAGUUUGCCAGCCUGUAUGAGAGAGAAAACCCUACACUGUAAUUUUCCGAUAUUAAAUUAAAAAU